UCCGUAGGUGAACCUGCGGAGGGAUCAUUACUGAGUUUACGCUCUACAACCCUUUGUGAACAUACCUACAACUGGUUGCUUCGGCGGGUAGGGUCUCCGCGACCCUCCCGGCCUCCCGCCUCCGGGCGGGUCGGCGCCCGCCGGAGGAUAACCAAACUYUGAUUUAACGACGUUUYUUYUGAGUGGUACAAGCAAAUAAUCAAAACUUUUAACAACGGAUCUCUUGGUUCUGGCAUCGAUGAAGAACGCAGCGAAAUGCGAUAAGUAAUGUGAAUUGCAGAAUUCAGUGAAUCAUCGAAUCUUUGAACGCACAUUGCGCCCGCCAGCAUUCUGGCGGGCAUGCCUGUUCGAGCGUCAUUUCAACCCUCAAGCUYUGCUUGGUGUUGGGGCCCUACAGCCGAUGUAGGCCCUCAAAGGUAGUGGCGGACCCUCCCGGAGCCUCCUUUGCGUAGUAACUUUACGUCUCGCACUGGGAUCCGGAGGGACUCUUGCCGUAAMWCCCCCCAAUUUUCCAAAGGUUGACCUCGGAUCAGGUAGGAAUACCCGCUGAACUUAAGCUUAAUAAGCGGAGGA
rnacentral:rRNA from 1 species